ACACUAAAACUCCAGGUCACUCAAUAUUCCUUGUGACCAAUCAUUAAGAUAAUUAGAUGAACAAUAUGUCUGUUCACUGAACGUUCCCAGUUGAUUUCUACAUUAAAUUGAGUUCAAAAGAGUAAUCAAAUGUGUACGGACCUAGAAGGGAUCUUCUUGACAGGCUGGAGUGUUCUAGCAUCUAAGAGAAGCGUAUAUGAACGACAUCCCACGGCAUAAACGCCAUCAUCUUGGACAGCGAGACAGACGUUCUCCUGGCAAGCGGGCAGUUUUCUAGAUAUUUUCUGUUUAAAUGUCUCUGCAGACCAAAUAUGGAUAAAACUGUUUAACGACAGUGCUGCUAUUUCAUUGUAAGCCUUAUUGAAGACCAAGGCCCGGACUUUCUGAGCUGAUUUGCAUUCUUUCACACUCACUGGCACAUCCGCCUUAUCAGGUGCCUCUGCGAGAUUGCUAUUGAUGUGCCAGAGUGCCAUUUUUGUAUCCCUUGAGCCAGAGACAAGAAAUUCGUCGUCCAACCAACACAUAUCAAAGACCCAAUCCCUGUGUCCUGUCUCUCCA